AAGUCCUUCUUAAUGAGGCCAUUUACCCAUAGAGGGUGCCAGGCCCGUAUAACGUUAAUGAUUGCUAGAUGAUGUUUCCAAAGAGUCGUGUUGCUUGAUAGUGCAGCACUAAGUGGGUGGUAAACUCCAUCUAAAACUAAAUAUAACCAUGAGACCGAUAGUAAACAAGUACCGUGAGGGAAAGUUGAAAAGAACUCUGAAUAGAGAGUUAAACAGUACGUGAAACUGCUUAGAGGUUAAGCCCGAUGAACCUGAAUAUCCGUUAUGGAAAAUUCAUCAUUAAAAUUGUAAUAUUUAAAUAAUAUUAUUAAGAAUAAUGUGCAUUUUUUCCAUAUAAGGACAUUGUAAUCUAUUAGCAUAUCCCAAAUUUAUCAUAAAAUAUAACUUAUAGUUUAUUCCAAUUAAAUUGCUUGCAUUUUAACACAGAAUAAAUGUUAUUAAUUUGAUAAAGUGCUGAUAGAUUUAUAUUAUUACAGAGCGUUAAUUUUUCGGAAUUAUAUAAUGGCAUAAUUAUCAUUGAUUUUUGUGUUUAUUAUAUGCUCUUGUAUGAUUAACAAUGCGAAAGAUUCAGGAUACCUUCGGGACCCGUCUUGAAACACGGACCAAGGAGUCUAACAUAUGUGCAAGUUAUUGGGAUGUAAACCUAAUAGCGUAAUUAACUUGACUAAUAAUGGGAUUAGUUUUUUAGCUAUUUAUAGAUAAUUAACACAAUCCCGGGGCGUUCUAUAUAGUUAUGUAUAAUGUAUAUUUAUAUUAUUUAUGCCUCUAACUGGAACGUACCUUGAGCAUAUAUGCUGUGACCCGAAAGAUGGUGAACUAUACUUGAUCAGGUUGAAGUCAGGGGAAACCCUGAUGGAAGACCGAAACAGUUCUGACGUGCAAAUCGAUUGUCAGAAUUGAGUAUAGGGGCGAAAGACAAUCGAACCAUCUAGUAGCUGGUUCCUUCCGAAGUUUCCCUCAGGAUAGCUGGUGCAUUUUAAUAUUAUAUAAAAUAAUCUUAUCUGGUAAAGCGAAUGAUUAGAGGCCUUAGGGUCGAAACGAUCUUAACCUAUUCUCAAACUUUAAAUGGGUAA
rnacentral:ncRNA from 1 species